AAUAGGUGCGGUUUGUAUAGACUUGAGGCUCUAAACAAUCGUAUUUGAGCCCACCUUCAAAUAGUGUCGAGAAAUAUGGUUUCAAUACUGAAAAGUUUUGUGAUAGCUUUAAAUUAUAUUUUCAUCUUUAGUUAUAAAAUUUAAAGCUUCUAAAAUAGUAUAGAUCUAUCAGAUUGAUGUCGAGAUGAUUAAUUUGGUGAUAUUUAGG
rnacentral:lncRNA from 1 species